CGAGUUUGAUCUUGGCUCAGGAUGAACGCUGGCGGCGUGCCUAACACAUGCAAGUCGAGCGAGAUUAAGUGGAGUGAGGGCUUCGGCCUGAGUGAAGCUUAUGAAAGCGGCGGACGGGUGAGUAACGCGUGGGCAACCUGCCCCAUACAGAGGGAUAGCCACUGGAAACGGUGAUUAAUACCUCAUAAGUCAGUAGGAUCGCAUGAUUUAGCUGACAAAGAUUUAUCGGUAUGGGAUGGGCCCGCGUCUGAUUAGCUAGUUGGUGAGGUAACGGCUCACCAAGGCGACGAUCAGUAGCCGACCUGAGAGGGUGAUCGGCCACACUGGAACUGAGACACGGUCCAGACUCCUACGGGAGGCAGCAGUGGGGAAUAUUGCACAAUGGGCGCAAGCCUGAUGCAGCAACGCCGCGUGGGUGAUGAAGGCCUUCGGGUUGUAAAC
rnacentral:rRNA from 1 species